GACAGAGGGUGCAAACGUUGUUCGGAAUCACUGGGCGUAAAGCGCGUGUAGGCGGCAGUGCAAGUCGGAUGUGAAAUCCCGCGGCUCAACCGUGGAAGUGCACCCGAAACUGCACAGCUCGAGUAUCGGAGAGGAAGGUGGAAUGCUUGGUGUAGAGGUGAAAUUCGUAGAUAUCAAGCGGAACACCGGUGGCGAAGGCGGCCUUCUGGACGAUUACUGACGCUGAGACGCGAAAGCGUGGGUAGCAAACAGG
rnacentral:rRNA from 1 species